UGGUAGAAAAGUGCAGGGAUCCAAAAAUAGGUUCGCCACCGCACGGGCUGGUAUAAAAGUGCAGGGAUUUGCCCGCCUGAAGGGCCGGUAGACUGAUCCACUAAAAGGAUCUGCGCGACUGUAUAUUAAAUGUUUGUGUUUUUUGUGUGUUAAGAGUAAAUCAUUUUUAACAGCACAGUACGCUGCUGGAUUACUCUUUUGUUACUGUCAUUUUAUUUCCUGUCAGUAGCUAAAGUACUGGUGAGAAGGGAGAAAGGUCGUGUUUCAUCACGUAAAGCUGACACCGCUCCAGGAAUAUCUUGGAGUUGAAGGGCGUGUCAACUACCACUCCUAACUCUAAUACCAGAGACGGCUCUGCAGUAUUGUUGUAAUGGGUAACAAAGCUACAAAACUCACUGCUGACGAGCAGUGGCUAGA